rnacentral:rRNA from 1 species
GCUGGCGGGCAGGCCUAACACAUGCAAGUCGAGCGGUAACACAGAGGAGCUUGCUCCUUGGGUGACGAGCGGCGGACGGGUGAGUAAUGCCUGGGGAUCUGCCCGAUAGAGGGGGAUAACUACGGGAAACUGUAGCUAAUACCGCAUAAUGUCUACGGACCAAAGUGGGGGCUCUUCGGACCUCAUGCUAUCGGAUGAACCCAGGUGGGAUUAGCUAGUUGGUGAGGUAAUGGCUCACCAAGGCGACGAUCUCUAACUGGUUUGAGAGAAUGACCAGUCACACUGGAACUGAGACACGGUCCAGACUCCUACGGGAGGCAGCAGUGGGGAAUAUUGCACAAUGGGCGCAAGCCUGAUGCAGCCAUGCCGCGUGUGUGAAGAAGGCCUUCGGGUUGUAAAGCACUUUCAGCGGGGAGGAAGGGUCACUAGUUAAUACCUAGUGGCAUUGACGUUACUCGCAGAAGAAGCACCGGCUAACUCCGUGCCAGCAGCCGCGGUAAUACGGAGGGUGCAAGCGUUAAUCGGAAUUACUGGGCGUAAAGCGCACGCAGGCGGUUUGUUAAGUCAGAUGUGAAAUCCCCGAGCUCAACUUGGGAACUGCAUUUGAAACUGGCAAGCUAGAGUCUUGUAGAGGGGGGU